rnacentral:rRNA from 1 species
GUAGUCAUAUGCUUGUCUCAAAGAUUAAGCCAUGCAUGUCUAAGUAUAAGCAAUAUAUACCGUGAAACUGCGAAUGGCUCAUUAAAUCAGUUAUCGUUUAUUUGAUAGUACCUUACUACUUGGAUAACCGUGGUAAUUCUAGAGCUAAUACAUGCUAAAAACCUCGACUUCGGAAGGGGUGUAUUUAUUAGAUAAAAAACCAAUGCCCUUCGGGGCUCCUUGGUGAUUCAUAAUAACUUAACGAAUCGCAUGGCCUUGUGCCGGCGAUGGUUCAUUCAAAUUUCUGCCCUAUCAACUUUCGAUGGUAUGGUCUUGGCUUACCAUGGUUUCAACGGGUAACGGGGAAUUAGGGUUCUAUUCCGGAGAGGGAGCCUGAGAAACGGCUACCACAUCCAAGGAAGGCAGCAGGCGCGCAAAUUACCCAAUCCCGACACGGGGAGGUAGUGACAAUAAAUACUGAUACAGGGCUCUUUUGGGUCUUGUAAUUGGAAUGAGUACAAUUUAAAUCCCUUAACGAGGAACAAUUGGAGGGCAAGUCUGGUUCCAGCAGCCGCGGUAAUUCCAGCUCCAAUAGCGUAUAUUAAAGUUGUUGCAGUUAAAAAGCUCGUAGUUGAACCUUGGGCCUGGCUGGCCGGUCCGCCUCACCGCGUGCACUGGUCCGGCCGGGCCUUUCCUUCUGAGGAGCCGCAUGCCCUUCACUGGGUGUGUCGGGGAAUCAGGACUUUUACUUUGAAAAAAUUAGAGUGUUCAAAGCAGGCCUAUGCUCGAAUACAUUAGCAUGGAAUAAUAGAAUAGGACGUGUGGUUCUAUUUUGUUGGUUUCUAGGACCGCCGUAAUGAUUAAUAGGGAUAGUCGGGGGCAUCAAUAUUAAAUUGUCAGAGGUGAAAUUCUUGGAUUUAUUUAAGAUUAACUACUGCGAAAGCAUUUGCCAAGGAUGUUUUCAUUAAUCAGUGAACGAAAGUUAGGGGAUCGAAGACGAUUAGAUACCGUCGUAGUCUUAACCAUAAACUAUGCCGACUAGGGAUCGGGCGAUGUUAUCUUUUUGACUCGCUCGGCACCUUACGAGAAAUCAAAGU